rnacentral:rRNA from 1 species
UACGGAGGGGGCAAGCGUUGUUCGGAAUUACUGGGCGUAAAGGGCUCGUAGGUGGCCAACUAAGUCAGGCGUGAAAUCCCCAGGCUCAACUUGGGAACUGCGUCUGAUACUGGAUGGCUUGGAUUUGGGAGAGGGAUGCGGAAUUCCAGGUGUAGCGGUGAAAUGCGUAGAUAUCGGAAGGAACAUCAGUGGCGAAAGCGGCUUCCUGGACCAGUACCGACGUUCAGGCACGAAAGCGUGGGGAGCAAACAGG